UGGCUCUCGCAUCGAUGAAGAACGCAGCGAAAUGCGAUAAGUAAUGUGAAUUGCAGAAUUCAGUGAAUCAUCGAAUCUUUGAACGCACCUUGCGCUCCUUGGUAUUCCGAGGAGCAUGCCUGUUUGAGUGUCAUGAAUAUCUCAGCCCCCCGGGUUUUUGUUAGCCCGAGGGACUGGACUUGGGAGCUUGCUGGCGACUGUCAGCUCUCCUUGAAUGCAUUAGCUUGGACCUUGACCACAUAGGAUCCUCGGUGUGAUAAUUAUCUACGCCGUGAAGACUUGUGGUGUGAUCGUGUGUUACCCCACUUUACUGUGGCUGCUGUAACCGCGAGGGGGACGGGCUUAUAGUCGUCUUCGGACAACAAUCUUGACAUCUGACCUCAAAUCAGGUAGGACUACCCGCUGA
rnacentral:misc_RNA from 1 species